rnacentral:lncRNA from 1 species
GUGAAUUGGAGAACUUUCUUCCCUGUGUUACAAGGAGAUUAGCACCCAGCUGAGGCUGUCACCUCCUUUAUCAGGAUGAAACAGAGCAUCCAGAAGGAAACUGUGUUCUAGCCUAGGCACCUAAACAUCCUCAGCCACUCCCGAAGUCUGGGGGUAGAAAGUGGGGUUCUCUGGCUGCCCCCUCCCUGCCAGCAGUGUCUGGCAGCCUGGGAAUGAACCUGGAGCGGACCCUCCUCUUUUCUCCAGCUUCCUUUCUCCCCCGUUUUGCCAUGACUAACCUGACCAUCCAUGCCCUAGGUCAUGGCUUCAACCUCCUGGAGCUUGGCCUCCGCUUGGAAAAUGCAGAGAAAAUCAUCCACAGGCUGUUGGGCGGGAAGUCAUUCUGGGGGCAGGAAGAGGAGAGAGAGGGCCAGCCGGAGAAGUCCUCAGAGCCAGACCCAGGGCCCUCAGCACAGGCAGCCAAACCUGACUGUCCAGAAGAAAGGUCCAGAAAGAUGAGAGACCUGCAGCAGAAGGUGGCCCGGAGGCACGCGGAGCGGCGGGCGCUGCAGUGUGAGCUGAGUGUGAAGGUGUUCGGGCACGAGCUGAGCUAUGUGAACUGUGGGGUGAUGGGGAGCCACAUGAAACGCCAGUCCUUGCACCUGGCCGAGCUGGCAGUCAAACUCCUGAAGGGGCAGGAGGUACAGGUGAACCGGAGGCUGAACCUGGCCAUGCAGGAGCUCACCUUCCCCACGGUGUCUGGCCUUCCAGCCCGGCUGACCCUAAAUGCCUCGGCUGCCAUCGGCGUCCGAGUCCGGGGGACUGCCGACUUCCAGCAGCACCUGGAUUUCUCCGUGAAUGGUUAUGUCAAGCCCAGUGCCCUGCUCCAGAUCUCAGCGCAGAUGGGCACAGUGGGCGCCCUGGGGCAGGCCGGGCUGCGGUGGGUGACCAGCGUCCGUGGCACUGCCAGCCUGGAUGGUGGGAUUGAGGCGAGGAAGGGCCGGGACCUCCACGUGCACCUGAACACCCCCGAGGAGGCUGUGGAGCUGCUCAGCUUCAGCUCCAAGCUGUAUCUCAUCACUGGGGAUGGCGUGAGGAGCCUCAGUGAUGUCCACAGCUCUUCUGGGGCCCAGUCCUGUACUGACGAGAAAGCGUCCCACACCUGGGGCUGGCAGCUGUGCACAGAAGUCACCUGGCCGGCAGCUGGCCAGCCCUACCUGCUCUCAGGGCCUGUGUCUGCGGCUGUGACACUGAAGAAGCAGGAUCGGGGCCUCCAGCGAUACCUUCUGGAAGCUGCCUAUACCUUCCACCCCCAGAAGGACAGCUGGCUCCCUCUGGAAGCUUCAGCUCACCUCUUCAUGGGCACGCCCGAGUCAGACGUGCCCAGGGACGUCGGGGUAGACGUGAGCUACAGCGCACCCCAGGGGAAGUUCCGGCUCAAGCUUCA